GACUAUGACGUCACGCGUCCCCACGUCUAUAUUCAGCAAUGGGCGGGGCUCCAAGUGUCCACGCUCUGAGGAGAGUUGGCGACAGGUCCUAGGCCGUGAGUUAACACUGGGGAUUUGGACCCAGGACUUUGUCCUGUGUGACAGCCAAGCACUCUACUACUGAGCUACACUCCCUGCCCAACCUCAAGUACUUCGUUAAUGUCUUCAGAAGCUUCCUGCUAUUUGGCUUCUGAUGCUCACACUUAAAGGAUGAAGUGCUAUCCUAAAGCAGAAAACAGCAAGAACAACAGCAAAACAACCAAAGAUUGGCCUGCUUUGGAAUAUCAAAUACCUCCUCUUUGGAGGGGAAGGAAGAUGAAAGCAAUGACAUCCACACUCCCCCAGAGCAUCUCCCCAGCACAGCCUGAGCUCUUGCAAUGGGGUUUUGUCGGGAGAGCUCAUCACCUGGAGUGGUCAGGGAGGGCUCAGUCACUGUGCGGUCACUGGGGGAGAAGACCUCGUGGCUUCAGCCUAGCCUGCUGAGGAAGCUCUUGGAGUCAGGGUGUCAGAGGGCUGAGACCCCACAGGAAGUGCAGAGCCGGAUGGGAAGGAGAGGUGACCACAUCCUGCAUUUCUCUGUGGUUCCCCCAGGAACCAGUAACACAGCCUGGAGGCUCAGCAGAGGAAAACCAAGAAGCCAAAUGAAAACCACAAUGAAAUACUCCUUCAUAUCCGCCAGCAUUGCUAUCAUGAAAAGAAAGAUAAUAACAAGUGCUGGUGAAGAUGUGGGGAAAUAGGAGCCCUCAGGCACUGUUGGUGGAUAGCUGCUUUGCACAGUAAUCUAGCAUUCCCAAAAGGUUAAAUAGAGACUUGUCUUUCAACACAGCAAUUCCACUUUUAGGUGCAUACCCAAAAGAAAUGGAAAUUUUGGUCCACAUGAAAACCUGUCCCUUAAUGUUUGGAGCAGCAUUAGGCAUAAUGACCAAAAAAUGAAAAGUACCCAACAGUUCUGCUGUUAAGAUUGAGAAGUUUUUG
rnacentral:lncRNA from 1 species